GGUGGGGUGGGGGGGCACCAACAGGUGUGCCCUGGGCCCCUCCUGGCCCUGCCCCUCUGCACAAGAAUCUCCUGCCUCUGUCCCUGAGGCCAGCAGCCUGAGAGCCCAGCUCCUCAAGCCCGCCUCCUCCAGGAAGCCCUUGGGCAAGGGAGAAAAAGGAAGCAGCAAGCCCCAGGGGAAGGUACCUGCACAGCUUCUCCCUCGCCUCCUCAGGGUCUCUGCCCCAACGUCACCCGCUGGGAGAGGCCCUGCUGGUCCCAGCACUCCUACAUCCCAUCCUGGCUUUUUUCUCCGUGGCACCCACCACUGGCAUGCCAGCCUGCCAGGGCUCCUGCCCCUGCCCCACUCUCCCCUCAAGGGGUUCUGCCCCCGGGACUGCCGGCGUCAGUCUCUCCCACAACCACUCACGGCACAAGGGACUGCCACGUUUUGCUUCCCUGAUUGGACCUGGGCUCUGCUGCUGAACGUCUGUUGGAAGUUCCCACCAGCUGGGGACUCCCAGGGAAAGCUCCAUCAUGGUCGGUCUGGCUCUCUGCUGCGUGCCCAGCCCUGGGCAAGAACAAGUACUUGUUAAUUUGUUUAAUGAACAAAGACAAAGCAGACCCAGGGAACAGGUCAUCCAUUCAGUGGAUAGUUACCUAGUUCCCACUGGGUCACGAGUGCUUGGGAGGAAAAUAGGCCUGAAGGAGGGGUGUGUGGGGAGGUGUAUCUGUAGGUACAGAUGUAAGUGGGCCGGUUAGGGAACACCUCUCCCAGGGGCAGACGUGUCACGUGUCACGGAGAAGUGGCACGGAGGUGAGCCCUCUAGGUACCUGGGGGAAGACUAUCCCAGGCAGCAGGAACGGCACGUGCAAAGGCCCUGAGGUAGAAUCUGCUGGAGCGUGGCUGCGGCCCAGCGAGCACGGAGGAAGAGUGCGAGGAGGCUGCAGCUGGGAGGCCACCUCCCCCAGGAAGCCCACCCUGACUUAUAGACUGGCCAGGUGCCUCCUCUAAGCUGCUCACCACAGGAGGUUGGUGCACCGGGAGGCCCAUGGUUCGUUUCCACUUGACACCGUUCACUGCCCAUCCCAGAGCCCUGCACAUCGGGCAUGAUGGGAGCACAGCUGAAAAGAGCGACUCUGAGCUCCAUGAGGACAAGACUAGGGCACUGUCCCUACAGCGUGGUCUUCACAGUGCCUGGUAGAGAAGGCACAUGGCUGUGUUCACAGAUCGCAUGAAGAAGCACACCCAGCCUCGUUCCAAGGAUCCCCAUGUACACAUCCCUGGCCUGGGGGUGCAGGGAAGCUGCAAACUCCAGACGCAGGUGGCUCUCACAGGUGGAGGUACCUGGAUCAGGAAUCCAGACCGCUUGAUGCAGACUCCAGAGCAGCCAGGGAACCUGCCGGCCCCUCCCCCACGUGUCUGGAGGGUUCUCCUAGGCCCCCCAGGAGAAGGAGCUCCCCGGGGGCACGCUGGGAAUAGAAACAGGGCUCCGUGAGUCUCCCUUCCACCUCCUCCCUACAGGCACCAGGGCCCAGAUGAUUUUUCAUCUCUGUAAUUAAUGGGCAAGUCAGUUCUGAACGGCAUGGCAGGCAAAUUGCUAGUUAGGAAAAUCACGGAUAAUUUUCUCGAUAUGAUAAUGAAG